UACGGGGGGAGCAAGCGUUGUUCGGAUUUACUGGGCGUAAAGGGCGCGUAGGCGGCCACUGCAAGUCGGUUGUGAAAUCUCCGGGCUUAACCCGGAAAGGUCAAUCGAUACUGCAGGGCUAGAGUGCGGAAGGGGCAACUGGAAUUCUCGGUGUAGCGGUGAAAUGCGCAGAUAUCAGGAGGAACACCGAUGGCGAAGGCAGGUCUCUGGGCCGAUACUGACGCUGAGGAGCGAAAGCGUGGGGAGCGAACAGG
rnacentral:rRNA from 1 species